ACGAACGCUGGCGGCGCGCCUAACACAUGCAAGUCGAACGGAGCAUUUAAGCUUGCUUAGAUGCUUAGUGGCGAACGGGUGAGUAACGCGUGAGCAAUCUGCCUCAGAGUGGGGGACAACAGUUGGAAACGACUGCUAAUACCGCAUAAGCCCACAGAACCGCAUGGCUCAGCGGGAAAAGAUUUAUCGCGUUGAGAUGAGCUCGCGUCUGAUUAGCUAGUUGGUGAGGUAACGGCCCACCAAGGCGACGAUCAGUAGCCGGACUGAGAGGUUGAACGGCCACAUUGGGACUGGGACACGGCCCAGACUCCUACGGGAGGCAGCAGUGGGGAAUAUUGCACAAUGGGGGAAACCUUGAUGCAGCGACGCCGCGUGGAGGAAGAAGGUCUUCGGACUGUAAACUCCUGUUGUUAGGGACGAUAAUGACGGUACCUAACAAGGAAGUGACGGCUAACUACGUGCCAGCAGCCGCAGUAAUAC
rnacentral:rRNA from 1 species